UACAACCAUGUCAAAAUGAAACAACUGUUCUCGUCCGAUCACCGAUGUUAAGCAACACUGAACCUAGUCAGUACCUAGAUGGGUGACAGCUUGGGAAUACCAGGUCUUGUAA